rnacentral:tRNA from 1 species
GGAGAAUUAGCUCAGCUGGGAGAGCGCCUGCUUUGCACGCAGGAGGUCAGCGGUUCGAACCCGUCAUUCUCCACCA